rnacentral:snRNA from 1 species
AUCACUUCUUGGCCUUUCAGCUAAGAUCAAGUGUAGUACCUAUUCUUAUCAGUUUAAUAUUUAAACAAGGUUGAGUCUCUCUCAUCUUUGAAAAAAACAGGGACACCUAAU